rnacentral:rRNA from 1 species
GACAGAGGGUGCAACCGUUGCUCGGAAUCACUGGGCGUAAAGGGCGUGUAGGCGGGAAGGAAAGUCAGAUGUGAAAUCCCUGGGCUCAAACCAGGAACUGCAUUUGAAACUCCCUUUCUUGAGUGUCGGAGAGGAAAGCGGAAUUCCUGGUGUAGAGGUGAAAUUCGUAGAUAUCAGGAGGAACACCGGUGGCGAAGGCGGCUUUCUGGACGACAACUGACGCUGAGACGCGAAAGCGUGGGGAGCAAACAGG